CGCGGCGUGGAGCAGUGGCAGCUCGUCGGGCUCAUAACCCGAAGGUCAGAGGUUCGAAUCCUUUCGCCGCUACCA
rnacentral:tRNA from 1 species